CUCUGGGCCUGCAAGGGUGUCCCUGUCCGUAUCUGCCCCCAGGGUCCCCAUUCGGAGGGUUGGCUAGGAGGGCGUUCUGAGAAGCUCGAGGAAGUUGAAGGCCCGGAGGCGGAAGCAGAGUAUGGGAAGGCCCGGGGUCAGGCCAGUGAGGGCCUCAGAGAUCGAGCCCACGCCCACCUCCUUUCCUCCAGCGGGCGCAGUUGGGCCCCGCGGGCUCGGAGCCCGAGUCUGAGCAAGAGUUGGCCCGGUACCCGCCAGGUGCGCUGCGCGGGAUGGCAACGAGGCGGGGCGGCCCCCGGAGCGCUGGUCCGGCUGGAGGGCGAGUCACGUGAGCUGGGGAUGUCCGACCCACGAUCUGGAAUCCAGGGCAAACGGGAGGUAUUGAGAAAAAAAUAAACUACACCCCUCACUGCUGUGAAAAGAAGAGACCAUCCAGGAACAGGUGUGGAGUCGGAGCCGGCGAGGAAGCCACCGUGAAGGUCAAGGUGAAUGCGGUGGGCUGCGAAGGGUAGAAUCCAGAAAGAAGCUGACCUUUCAUCUGAGUCAGAGAAAGGAGAUGGCCAGGGCAGAAGCAAGGGCCAGAGACUGAGGAGACUGGACACAUAAGGGUCCCCUUCUUUCCUCCAACACCAUUCUUGGGACUCAAAGAAGUGACUUUCAACCUCCCAUGAUUCAUGAAGGUGAAAGUAGGAGCCCUUCUCAGCAUGUCCGCUACAUCUCAGAGGCAAAGGGGGCCUCAGAACACAUCUGGACUCCUCUGUGUUUUGAGCAGGCAAUACUAUUAUGUUUAGGAAAAGAAAACACUGCCCUGCACCUUCCUCCCAGCCCACCCAAGGAGUACCUGGCCAGUGUGGAAAAUUUAGGAUGUAUGGGUAGG